rnacentral:lncRNA from 1 species
CAGUAACUCAUAGAUUGACUAAUAAUUUAAAGUGAUUUUUAUCUACUUUAAUAUCUUUAGUCAUUUAUUUUUAAAGUGUUCCAUACUUUGAGCAAGUAAAAUUGCUUCAGUUUUGAGACAAGCUAAUUUCUGAUCGUAUUUUCUUCAGGCCAUCUCAGCUCUCUGCUGUUUCUGAUUACCUGAUCACAUGGGAAGCCCUUACAGAGGGGCUUCUCCAACAUCCUUUAAUUUCCAGUUUUUGAAAAAGGGAUUCAUUUUUCUAAGUAAAAGAAAUUUUCAUACCUUUUUGGGAAAAAUUAGCUCAUGAAGAAAGAGUUUUAUAUGUUUAAAUGAUAAAACUUAACAGAUUGAGUCAUAACAUGCUAGACUACCAAGACUACCUUUCUGAGUUCCUCGUGUCGUCCUACAAUACCAGUGCUUUUUCUGUGCAGUCUGCUUUGUGCCUGUUUUCUAACCUUGUUGAUUUUUUUGUUCAAGUCCUUGAAGCAGUUGUUGAAUAAUUUUAGUUGGGAGAUUGGGGAAGAGAUAAUUGAAAGAGAAUAUAAUGAAUGGACACCAUGAAAACCAGCUCAAAAAUAUGUUGUUGUCUACAAAGAUUUCUUGUCAAGAUGUCUUGGAUUGCACUUUUGUUGAGGGAAGCCAGUGUAAAUACUUAAAGAAUGUUGAUAAAAAUUGAAGCAUUUGGGUUAUGGAAUCAUGUGUGAUGUUAGAGGGUUUCUGUAUGUGAAAGGUGUG